rnacentral:lncRNA from 1 species
AGCCUGGCACAGCUGGCACCCCCCGAGUCCCGCAGCCCCCUUGGCCCGGGCCCCCCUGCGUCUCACCCUCCCGGCCCGGGCUGCAGCAGGCGGAGGCCGCGGCCGCUCUCGGGGCCCAGCGCGCCCGGGCCCAGUACCUGAAGCCGGCCCGGCUGGUGCGCACCGUUCUCCGCAGCCCGCCGGCGGGAGCGCAGGGAGCCUGGGCCCGGCCUGAGCCGGAGCCGGGGCCGCGGGGCGGCGUCGGUCCCUCCCCCGCUGCCGCCAACGCGUGACCCGAGGCCGUGCGGCGGGAGCCGCGGGUGUCUGGUCCUGGGAGCCGGGGGAGGCGUCAGGCUGCUGCGAGCCCCGGAGCCCCGCGGCGGCGCUGGCUGGGGAGGUGGGAACUGGGAAAUCGCUGCCACUUGCCAGCGUGGGGGUCUGGUCGGUAUCGCUGAUCGCCGCGGGGAGGACACGGGGAGGCUCCGAAGAGGCUGGGAAAAUGGCUUGAUUAUGAUUAAAUCAGAACCCAGUUAUCUAGCCUGCAACUAGUGGGACACGCGGGACUUCCUAGCGGCGAACCGCGCCCUGCUGCGCCCACGCAGGGCCAUAGCAGCCGGAGCUCUGGGGCAGUAAGCAAGCAAUGGCUGUAGCAAGAAACGCCCCCCAGAAACUCCGUGUAAAUGAAGCCGCUGCCAGGCUGAAGCAGGAGGAGCAGGAAGUCAUGAAGGCUGUUCCAAGGAAAGCUGUGAUCGCAGACCAUGAGGAACAGGGCUCUAAGCAGAAACCUAAGUGCCUGAGCUCUACUUCAUCCCUGUGGAGGAGGAGAAUUCCUGUGGUGGUGGCUGGAAAGUGCUAAUGGACUCUGGUGUGCAGGGUUGGUGUAUCUGUGGGGAUAGCUGAUGGAUCCACAGGGGGUUGCUUGUGCAGCGUGUGUGAGACAAUUGUAUUAUUUUAAAUUUGCAUAUGCAAAUAUUGCACAUUCAGGCUGGGAUUUUCACAGGCUACUGAAACUCUCUCAGGCUUCUUUGGAAAUCCCAGGCUAAUUUCCUCAGGAACAUCUGAAAACAUUUCCACCAGUAAAUGAACAGCCUCCCAAAUCCCUGCAAAACAAUGAAUAACCGGCCCGUCAUUUCAUUACUGGAAAAUUGUAUGUGCAAAACUUGUUAUCCCAAAUGAAGUUCCCAAACACACUGGUGUAAAUAAAACAAUAAAACAAGUUUAUUAACUACA